rnacentral:rRNA from 1 species
GUACACGCUGUGACUAGCAUAUCAAUAAGCGGAGGAAAAGAAACUAACAAGGAUUCCCUCAGUAACGGCGAGUGAAGCGGGAAGAGCUCAAAUUUGAAAUCUUGAAAGGUCACCUUUCACGAAUUGUAGUUUAAAGAAGUGUUUUCUGUUACGAUCGUAAUAUAAGUUCUUUGGAAUAGGACAUCACAGAGGGUGAGAAUCCCGUCUAUGAUUGCGAUUUGUAGCUUUGUGAUACACUUUCAAAGAGUCGGGUUGUUUAGGAAUGCAGCCCAAAACGGGAGGUAAAUUUCUUCUAAGGCUAAAUAUUGGCGAGAGACCGAUAGCGAACAAGUACCGUGAGGGAAAGAUGAAAAGAACUUUGAAAAGAGAGUUAAAUAGUACGUGAAAUAGUCAAAAGGGAAGCGUUUAACACCAGUGUUGUUUUCUGAAAAUCAACCUCUGUUAGCUUUAUGCAUGUUUGUUUAGACCUAAUCAGCUAUCUUUCAUGUUCUAUUGUUUGCAGUGGUGCACUUUUCAGUUUACAGGUCAACAUCAGUUUUUUUUACCGUAAAAAAGUUAAAGAAAGGUAGCUCAUGGCUCCGGUCGUGAGUGUUAUAGUCUUUUUCCUAUGCGGUAGGAGAGACUGAGGUCUGCAGUGUAGGCUAUUUGGCUAGAUACUCAGGUGCUGUGUGAUACCAUUUCAUAAACAACUUGUUGAUUAUGUUUUGUCUAUUGCAUACUCGCUUGUACUAUCAUACCUACGCUUAGGAUGUUGAGUAGCGACAUACGCAC